rnacentral:rRNA from 1 species
UACAGGGGGGGCAAGCGUUGUUCGGAAUUACUGGGCGUAAAGGGUUUGUAGGUGGCCACUUAAGUCAGACGUGAAAUCCCUCAGCUUAACUGGGGAACUGCGUCUGAUACUGAGUGGCUUGAGUGCAGGAGAGGAACGCGGAAUUCCAGGUGUAGCGGUGAAAUGCGUAGAUAUCUGGAGGAAUACCGGUGGCGAAGGCGGCAUCCUGGACCAUUACUGACGCUGAGGCGCGAAAGCUAGGGGAGCAAACGGG